UACAGAGGUCUCAAGCGUUGUUCGGAUUCAUUGGGCGUAAAGGGUGCGUAGGUGGCGGGGUAAGUCAGGUGUGAAAUCUCGGAGCUCAACCCCGAAACUGCACUUGAUACUGCCUUGCUCGAGUACUGGAGAGGAGAUUGGAAUUUACGGUGUAGCAGUGAAAUGCGUAGAUAUCGUAAGGAAGACCAGUGGCGAAGGCGAAUCUCUGGACAGUUACUGACACUGAGGCACGAAGGCCAGGGGAGCAAACGGG
rnacentral:rRNA from 1 species